CACGUAGGAGGCGAGCGUUGUCCGGAUUCAUUGGGCGUAAAGAGCGCGCAGGCGGCUUGGUAAGUCGGAUGUGAAAUCCCGAGGCUCAACCUCGGGUCUGCAUCCGAUACUGCCCGGCUAGAGGUAGGUAGGGGAGAUCGGAAUUCCUGGUGUAGCGGUGAAAUGCGCAGAUAUCGGGAGGAACACCAAUGGCGAAGGCAGCUCGCUGGGACGGUACUGACGCUGAGACGCGAAAGCGUGGGGAGCAAACGGG
rnacentral:rRNA from 1 species